rnacentral:lncRNA from 1 species
CUAGAACUGGUUCUUUCUCAACUCUCUCUCAAAGGGACACCUUCUUCAUCUGGCGUCUCAUCUCCAAACUCAAAAUCAAGUUGUCCUUCUGGGUUAUCAAUUUUAUUAUUGAGAGUGCUGAAGACCCUACCAGCCUUUCUUACUGUAUGGUCAUUACCCACAUUCUAAAAGCCCAUAAAAUUUAGCUUUCCGAUUAUUCAUUUCUUUCUGUGUCCAAAUGUUAUAAAGCCUUCUCUAUCAUGGGGUAUGUGAGUAUCAAUGGGGUCUGGGUCAAGAAGGGUGAAAGUGAUGCCAAGCCCUCUCCUACCGUGCUACCCUCUCCAUUCCCACAGACCUUAGUGAUGCUCUUUUGAAUCUCAACUCUCUGAUAUCAAGUCGACUGCGGAAGCCAUUCAUGCUAUUUCCAAGGAAACAGGGUUUGAUGUCUCUAAAAGCAGGGUGACUGUGCAAAGGGUAAAGGAAAAUGCAGUCAAGGCAGUCAAGGAGGUACAUGACAUGCUGGAUGGAAUGAGCGUUGCAGCCAACACCAGCUUUAUCUAGUUGAAAGAGGCCAUCUGCAAUACCCUUACUUACUUCUUGCGUUGUUAGAUGGCUG